rnacentral:rRNA from 1 species
AGGGUGUAAACGCUGCAGACUUGGUGUUGGGAACCCUUCGGGGGUGCUCAGUGCCGGAGAGAAGUUGUUAAGUCUGCUACUUGGGAGUACGUCCGCAAGGAUGAAACUUAAAGGAAUUGGCGGGGGAGCACCGCAACGGGAGGAGCGUGCGGUUUAAUUGGAUUCAACGCCGAAAAACUCACCAGCAGCGACUGUUACAUGAAGGCCGAGAUGAAGACUCUGCUAGAUUUUCAGAGAGGUGGUGCAUGGCGUCAGUGACU